GGCAUAAACUUGAAGAACAGUAGUUUAGUGGGGUUAGCCGAUCCUAUUCAUCUAUUGUACUUCAAAUUUAGGCCC
rfam:Haemonchus contortus, ISE/inbred ISE, WGS project CAVP01000000 data, contig: Hcontortus_39622